CACGUAGUUAGCCGAGGCUUCUUCUGCAGGUACCGUCACGAUCGCUUCGUCCCUGCCGAAAGGGGUUUACAACCCGAGGGCCUUCAUCCCCCACGCGGCGUCGCUGCGUCAGGCUUUCGCCCAUUGCGCAAGAUUCCCCACUGCUGCCUCCCGUAGGAGUCUGGGCCGUAUCUCAGUCCCAGUGUGGCUGGUCGUCCUCUCAGACCAGCUACCCGUCGUCGCCUUGGUGGGCCGUUACCCCACCAACAAGCUGAUAGGCCGCGGGCCCAUCCCUCACCAGCGGACUUUUCCCGACCAGACCAUGCGGACCGGUCGGAGUAUCCGGUAUUAGCUCCGGUUUCCCGGGGUUAUCCCAGAGUGAGGGGCAGGUUGCCCACGUGUUACGCACCCGUUCGCCACUGAUCCCCGGGCCGAAGCCCGGUUCACCGUUCGACUUGCAUGUGUUAAGCGCGCCGCCAGCGUUCGUCCUGAGCCACGGAUCAAACUACU
rnacentral:rRNA from 1 species